rnacentral:rRNA from 1 species
UACGAAGGGGGCUAGCGUUGCUCGGAAUCACUGGGCGUAAAGCGCACGUAGGCGGAUUGCUAAGUCAGGGGUGAAAUCCUGGAGCUCAACUCCAGAACUGCCCUUGAUACUGGCGGUCUCGAGUCCGGGAGAGGUGAGUGGAACUGCGAGUGUAGAGGUGAAAUUCGUAGAUAUUCGCAAGAACACCAAUGGCGAAGGCGGCUCACUGGCCCGGUACUGACGCUGAGGUGCGAAAGCGUGGGGAGCAAACAGG